rnacentral:rRNA from 1 species
AUUGAACGCUGGCGGCAGGCCUAACACAUGCAAGUCGAGCGGAUGAAGGGAGCUUGCUCCUGGAUUCAGCGGCGGACGGGUGAGUAAUGCCUAGGAAUCUGCCUGGUAGUGGGGGAUAACGUCCGGGAACGGGCGCUAAUACCGCAUACGUCCUGAGGGAGAAAGUGGGGGAUCCUCGGACCUCACGCUAUCAGAUGAGCCUAGGUCGGAUUAGCUAGUUGGUGGGGUAAAGGCCUACCAAGGCGACGAUCCGUAACUGGUCUGAGAGGAUGAUCAGUCACACUGGAACUGAGACACGGUCCAGACUCCUACGGGAGGCAGCAGUGGGGAAUAUUGGACAAUGGGCGAAAGCCUGAUCCAGCCAUGCCGCGUGUGUGAAGAAGGUCUUCGGAUUGUAAAGCACUUUAAGUUGGGAGGAAGGGCAGUAAGUUAAUACCUUGCUGUUUUGACGUUACCAACAGAAUAAGCACCGGCUAACUUCGUG